UGGGGGCGGUGGGAGGGGAAGAGGAGAUUUUUAAAAAUGUAUUCCGACCUGCAGAAGUUUGAAAGUGAAAGAAAAUGUGUCAGGUCAUGUUGGUGUUCAGUGCGCGCCUCGUAAAUGCUUGGCUGAUUUAAAAAGAGAGAGAGAGAGAGAGAGAAAAAAAAGAAAAAGAAAAAAAAGGAGCAAAGACAUGCAAAAGUUGCGCCUGGCCGCCAGUGACUCGGGGUAAGUCUUAAAUGAUCUCAUUCGUUUCGCCGUGCAUCAUAGCAGCAAGAACUGGAAGGAGGACAAUGAAACGAGGAACUGCUGACUUGCGUUUCCAGUGUUCACUGGCGACUUUCUGAUGAAGAGGAGGAUGAAGGGAGACAAACUGGCAACCAGGGGAGGGUUCCUGCUGCGAAGCAGGACCAGCUUUAGGGAAAUGAGAUAUUGUUACCGCUCUGACUCAUCCCGCCCCGGUUAGAGCACACACGGCUCCCCACCCAGAGCGGCUGCCACCCUCAUCCAGUCUCACGCAGGGCAGAGACACGACGAGGAGGCAGAUUCACCACAGCUCUUGAAGGCAUGUUUCCACUGCCUUCGCCCAUCAUAACGAGCGCCGGGGAAACCACCUGGUCUGAGCUUUUCUGCUGCUGAGUCGGUGAGAACAUGGUCAUAAGAUGAGGAGGCUGGCGACCGCAGGCUGUGGCGCUGGGUGUCGUGGUUAGCAGCUGCCGGUCCUCAGUGACCUAAACUGUGCUGCGGAAUUGCCUGUGGGAAUAAUCGGAAGAAGUGUUCAGAGGAAGAACAAAGCGGAGAGGUUUGAGCGGCAGUAGGCAAGACUUUAAUCGAUGCAUUGCAUCAGAUGACCAUAAAAACACCAGCUGGAGAUUAAUGCUGUUAACUUCCCCCGGAGCCUGGGUUUGUUUGGCUUGUUAACGGGUUUUCGAGUUCUGUGGCUGUUUUUUUUUUUUUUUCUUUUUGUCUUUUACGACAAUCUUCACACUAAGUCAUGCUGACUCUGUUAAAGUCCCAUCAGGUUUAGAAACACGACUAACAAAACCAAAACGCAUCCAGCAGGUUGUCCACUCGUUGAACUCGGUCCGCCACCGACAAAAACAAAACAAACAUCUAUCACCCAUUUCUGUUACUUGCAUACCUUUCACUUGAGCAAGAGGAGUGGUGUGGAUCCGGCAAUACAAAAGAAUUGUUUUGAGCAAAAUCUCCCAUGAUGCAUCUAUUGACACCUCUGCUGUUAAAAGACAGCGAUUAGUCUUCUCCUGUGCUACUUCACAACGUUGAGGGAUUAAAGAAAAAGAGAUUUUUGACUCUGUUCAACCUCUCUAGAUUGUUCAGUGUACUAUACUCUGCUUUGCUCUCUUCUUUUAAAGUCACUGACACGUUUUGAAUACGUUUUAGUUUUGAGACGGUUGGUUUUUGUUUUUGUUUCUGUGGUUUUUAGGGCAUUUCAAAAAAACAAAUUGCUAAAAUAAUAAUGAUGCUAAUCAGUUUCAGGUUUCCAACUGAUUUUUUAUUUCAAAUCUGGUAUUUCAGAGAAGUCGUGCACUGCAAAAACACAAAAUCUUGCCAAGUAAUUUUGGUCUAGCUUCCAGUACAAACACCUUAGCACACUAGAAAUAAUACAAAACUGACAUACAGUAACUUUUCAGCAAGAUGUACCAGAUUGUUUUAAGUCAAUGAUUUAUUGAAGAAAAAAAAUCACUAGAUCCAUGUUACAAGUGAAAUAAUCUGCCAAUGGAACUAGUACUGUUUCAUCAAUAUUAAGGAAUUAUUGGCUUUAAAAAAGCUCAUAUUUAUUGCUGAAAAAUUACUUGUAAGUUAGUUUUCUCUUAUUUACUGUGAUAUUUGCAGUAGGAACUGGACCAAAACUACUUAAUAAUAUUUUGUGUUUCUGCAGUGUGAUGCAAUGUACUAAAACAAAUACUCCUGGUCCUCUUGGUGUGAAACAGCUUCACACCAUCACACAUCUUAUGCCGUUUUUAAGAGGUGCUUUUUUUUUCUUGCUUUUUUUUUUUUUACAUGUUCGUCCCUUGUUUGACACCAGACUGACCUGCUGGUUGCCAAAAAGUUUGUCUUCGUCUCAUCUGACCACAUAAUUGCAGUGAGUCUUUCUAAAGUUUCACAAACUCCACAUGUUUACCUUUGUGACAAUAGGAUGUAAAAAGGCUUUUAUUUUCUGGCAUGGAUCCAAAGCAACCAGCUGGCAUGAGAGCACCUUGGUGAACCCAAUAAGUUACUCCUGGCUGCAUUUCAAAACCAUCUGAUGUAGAGAUUGUCAUCUAUUGUACACAGGAUAAAAUAAAGCGACUAAGGGCAAUGAGACAUUUAUAACCCAAACAAACAGGCUGUCAUGGUUCCCUAAUUAAAAUCUCAUUGACAUUCUGAUCAAAAGUUAAAAGUACAACUUAAAAAAGAAAGCUUCAGUGACAUGUAUUUAUUGGGGAUUGUUGAAAGCACUAAAAACAAUUUGACAAUUUUCUAUGUGGGGGAUAUUGCCCCCUUUGCAAAUAUGUAAUCAAAGUAAAGGUUACAUUUUUCUAAUUUUGUAUAACUUUGCUUCAAAGGUACAGUUUAUUUUUUAUAGGCUGUCAAUUAUUUUCACCCGAGGUGACAGACACUGUAAAAAUUUGAUAAAGAGGACAGCAGAUGCUUCAUUUUCGUCAACAAUAGCAAUAAAAACAGGUCUGGUCUGCCAAGUUUGACCAAUAGUUUUUGCACAAAAACAAAUAGUGUAUUGACAGGUGACUAAAUCUGACUGCAUUUUUAAAAUAAAUGAUCUCGACAUCAGAUAAAAGUAGCUUUCUUUAUUUUUGAAGACGAAUCUGUCCAAGUCAGCUUUCAGCUAACAAGCUAACUAAAAAAUGUAAAUAUCUCUUCUGGCCUUCAGAUGACUUCCCUCCUUCACAAACGUGCAGAUCUUGAACUUCAUUAACAUUCAAAUCAUAACAUGUGUUUGGCCCUUUUAGAUGAGCUUUUCUAGUAACUCUAUUGAAAACAAGCUUAUUUAUGUCCUGGAGUUUGAAUGUAAAGCUGCAUGUCAGACUUUGCGCUUUAUUUUUGUAUUUAAUGCCUUUUGCAAUUGUUUUCCACCAAUAUUGAAUCAAAAUAAAUGGUUUCCUUUGA